UGGGGAACCUGCCCCAUAGUCUGGGAUACCACUUGGAAACAGGUGCUAAUACCGGAUAAGAAAGCGGAUCGCAUGAUCAGCUUUUAAAAGGCGGCGUAAGCUGUCGCUAUGGGAUGGCCCCGCGGUGCAUUAGCUAGUUGGUAAGGUAAAGGCUUACCAAGGCGAUGAUGCAUAGCCGAGUUGAGAGACUGAUCGGCCACAUUGGGACUGAGACACGGCCCAAACUCCUACGGGAGGCAGCAGUU
rnacentral:rRNA from 1 species